rnacentral:rRNA from 1 species
AUACGGAGGUUGCAAGCGUUAAUCGGAAUUACUGGGCGUAAAGCGCGCGUAGGCGGCUGAUUAAGUCGGAUGUGAAAUCCCUGGGCUCAACCUAGGAACUGCAUCCGAUACUGGUCAGCUAGAGUUUUGGAGAGGUAAGUGGAAUUUCCGGUGCAGCGGUGAAAUGCAUAGAGAUCGGAAGGAACACCAGUGGCGAAGGCGACUUACUGGCCAAAAACUGACGCUGAGGUGCGAAAGCGUGGGUAGCGAACAGGAUUAGAUACCCUAGUAGUCC